rnacentral:rRNA from 1 species
UACUAUGCUUAGCUCCUAAACAUCGAUAGCGCACUACACUUGCUAUCCGCCUGGGAACUACGAGCAUCAGCUUGAAACCCAAAGGACUUGGCGGUGCUUUAGAUCCAU